rnacentral:rRNA from 1 species
UCGUCAAGAGGGAAACAACCCAGACUACCAGCUAAGGUCCCUAAAUCUUACUUAAGUGGAAAACGAUGUGAAGUUACUUAAACAACCAGGAGGUUGGCUUAGAAGCAGCCAUCCUUUAAAGAAAGCGUAAUAGCUCACUGGUCUAGUGAUUUUGCGCGGAAAAUAUAACGGGGCUAAAGUAAGUACCGAAGCUGUAGACUUGCGCACAACUUAGAUUAUUUAAGUUUAGAAUAUGAGAAACUAAGUUAUAUGUUUAGUUAUAUUUUUACUGAUUUUUAUAGAGUAAAGAUAGAAAUAAAACUUAGUAAAAUCAGUAAAAAUAUUCUUAGACUAAAGUUAAGUAGUUUAAGUUGUGUGCAAGUGGUAGGAGAGCGUUCUAUUUGCGUCGAAGGUAUACCGGUAAGGAGUGCUGGAGCGAAUAGAAGUGAGCAUGCAGGCAUGAGUAGCGAUAAUUAAUGUGAGAAUCAUUAACGCCGUAAACCCAAGGUUUCCUACGCGAUGCUCGUCAUCGUAGGGUUAGUCGGGU